GACGAACGCUGGCGGCGCGCUUAACACAUGCAAGUCGAGCGAAGCGGCGGACGGGUGAGUAACACGUGAGUAACCUGCCUUAGACCUUGGGAUAGCCUCGGGAAACCGGGAUUAAUCCCAAAUGUUCUAAGAUGGACUCGCGGCCAAUUCGCUAGUUGGUGAGGUAACGGCCCACCAAGGCGACGAUGGGUAGCCGGCCUGAGAGGGGGAACGGCCACAGUGGAACUGAGAAACGGUCCAAAGUCUACGGGAGGCAGCAGUGGGGAAUAUUGCACAAUGGAGGUAACUCUGAUGCAGCGACGCCGCGUGGGGGAUGAAGGCUUUCGGGUUGUAAACCUCUAUCGCUAUCGAACGGGUAGGUGGAGAAGAAGCGCCGGCUAACUACGUGCCAGCAGCCGCGGUAAUUC
rnacentral:rRNA from 1 species